rnacentral:tRNA from 1 species
ACCAGGCUCGCUUAACGGAAGAGCGUCGGUCUCCAAAACCGAAUAUCGGGGUUCGACUCCUCGGCCUGGUGCCA